CCCUUAGAUGUUCUGGGCCGCACGCGCGCUACACUGAUGCAUUCAACGAGUUUCUUCCUGGUCCGAGAGGAAUGGGUAACCUUUUGAAAGUGCAUCGUGAUAGGGAUAGACUAUUGCAAUUAUUGGUCUUCAACGAGGAAUUCCUAGUAGACGUAGUUCAUCAGACUGCAUCGAUUACGUCCCUGCCCUUUGUACACACCGCCCGUCGCACCUACCGAUUGAAUGGUCCGGUGAAGCCUCGGGAUUGUGGUUGGUUUCCUUUAUUGGAGAUUGAUUGCGAGAACUUGUCUAAACCUUAUCAUUUAGAGGAAGGUGAAGUCGUAACA
rnacentral:rRNA from 1 species